GGCCAUAGCUCAGUGGUAGAGCUUCUGUCCUGCAAGCAGAAGGUCUCUGGUUCAGUUCCCAUCAUCUCCAGAUAGCGUU